GGGCCUAUAGCUCAACGGCAGAGCAGAGCUCUCAUAAAGCUUUGGUUACAGGUUCGAAUCCUGUUGGGCCCA
rnacentral:tRNA from 1 species